rnacentral:tRNA from 2 species
AUCUUUCUAGUAUAAAGCUAGUAUUAGUGCCUUCCAAGCACCCCGUCUUGGUUAAAAUCCAAGGAAAGAUA